CUGGUUACUGCAUGAUCCUCUUGAAACCGUUCAGAGGGCAGAGGAAAAUGAGUCAGAGAAAGGACCUAAUUCAAUGCAGUUUUAUAUAGUGGGAAGUUGCCUUGGUGUCAAUCAAAUUUUACAGGAUAUUGGUAGCAUGUUACAAUUUAAUCUUCCUCGAAUUGGGCUAAUGUUAAAGAGUGUGGCUUCUCACCCAUGAAGAAGUGAGGAGCUUGGAAGAAGUGAACUCUGCAGUAGAGCAAGGCAGAGCAGAAGUACACAAGGGCCACCUGGGGCAGUGAGACCGGCCCCAAUUUGCCACCUUCUCAUGAUCCCCCUUCCCUGUGCAGACUGCAGGCAGAUGCAGAUCUUCCAGAAGGAGCAUUCAAGACAGGUGAAAGGAAAUGAAAUUCAUCCUUCUUUGGAGACCUGUCCUGAUGAAGUGCUCAGGAAGAGCUGUAAAACUGAAGACUGAAAUCUUCCAAGUAAGAUUUUCUUUAGAGGGCAGAACCAAUGUGGUGGGUUAAAAGUUGCUAGGGAAGGAAAGCCGUGAUGUCAUUUACACAGUACGUAUCAGCUAUGGGCUAGGGAAUCUUGCCAUGUAUAAACAUUAGAAAAGAAUGAAAACCAUUAAACAUUUACAGCAACCAAUUCACAAAUGUUGAGAUUUCUGAAUCUCCAAUGAGCUAAAGAAAUACCCUAAUUUGAAACCACAGCUUUCACCACCAUCAUUGAAAGCUUAGAUCUGCAGCCACAUUUUCGAAACAGUUAUUAAUGAACUGGAGCAUAUCAUCAGCAUUAAAUCUGGCAAUGCAGAAGUGUGUAGACAAAUGACUUCAGAUAAAAUGAAUGUCAAUCACUGUUUUGAGUAAUUUCUAUGUAACUGGAAUGAAUAUGGUCCCUAUAUAUAUACCUCUUCCAAGCACAUACACAUGUGAAACCCAAAUGAUUUUUCCAUUCUUUCCAGUGCAAUUUUCAGCCUAAGGGACUUAGGAGUAUUUCAUUAAUUGCUUCUAAGAAAUUAGUAUCUAAUAAAGACCAUCUGGGAACUAGUAGCUAAAGAAAACCACAGAAAAUAUAUUUUCACUGAAAAAGAAAUUUCCUGUGAAAAAUUCUGUAUUUCACGCAAAGCAAAGCGUUUUGACCAGCUUGAUCUGAAGUUGAACAUUUUGUUGGAAAGUUUUUUUGUCUGGGGUUUUUAUUUUGCCUGUAAUUUAAAAAACUCUUCUCAAUAUUUUUGGUUGUACAUCUCUCGUCUAAAGUACUGUUGAUAAUUAAGAGGCUGUAACCCAUCGUUUUUCAAGUGGUGAGGACUUUGUCCUCAGGCACCUCCUGAUGGAGACGUGCAAUGCACCAUUGCAGUCUCCUGAUGACCAUGGAUCGCGGGAUGGGUGCGUUAAUUAGGGAGCUCAGUCUACAGGAAGGACUGAAGAAAUAAAGCACCUGAACUCUAA